AAGUCGUAACAAGGUCUCCGUUGGUGAACCAGCGGAGGGAUCAUUACAGAGUUGAAAAACUCCCAAACCAUCGCGAACGUUACCCGUACCAGUUGCUUCGGCGGGCCGCUCUUCGGGGCGGUCAAGCCCCCCAGCCCACCCGCUGGGGGCGCCCGCCGGAGGGACUACUACCCCAAACUCUUGUUAUUUUUCUAGAACAGCUCUGAGUAUCUUAUUCCAAAUAAGUAAAAACUUUCAACAACGGAUCUCUUGGUUCUGGCAUCGAUGAAGAACGCAGCGAAAUGCGAUAAGUAAUGUGAAUUGCAGAAUUCAGUGAAUCAUCGAAUCUUUGAACGCACAUUGCGCCCGCCAGUAUUCUGGCGGGCAUGCCUGUUCGAGCGUCAUUUCAACCAUCAAGCACUGCUUGUGUUGGGGACCUGCGGCUGCCCGCAGGCCCUGAAAACCAGUGGCGGGCUCGCUGUCAUCCCGAGCGCAGUAAAUUUUUUACAAUCUCGCUUUGGGCGUGCGGCGGGCACCCGGCCGUUAAAACAAACCAAAUCUUUAACGCAAGGUUGACCUCGGAUCAGGUAGGAAUACCCGCUGAACUUA
rnacentral:rRNA from 1 species